rnacentral:lncRNA from 1 species
AUUUCAACUUUACCAUUUAGAACUUGUUUAAUAGCUUCCUUGUGAGCAGCAACCCUCUAUCAAGAAAAUCAUGAUAGGAAAUGCAAGCACGGGAAUAUCUAUACCCCGUAUGCAGGUGCUGCUACUUAGAAAUGGAAAGUUCACAAUUGGAAAGCUGAAAUCAUCUCUUUUGUCGUAAAAUUUUUUUUUCAACCGACCCUCAUUUGUCAAUUUUUUAGAUGUAAGUCAAGAUAUGAGGCCGACUUAACUAUAUCUGUAGUAUCCUUUAUCUCUAGCUCGAUUGUCAUGAAAUAUGGGAAAUUAUUUAAUAUUCUUCAGAAGUUCAGAUUUCAUUUGUUAAAAAUGCAAUCACUCUAAUUAGGAAAUCCGAUUUGAUCAUUUUAAUGUACAUCUAUUCUAGCUUGUAUGCAACUUUGAAGAAAUAGUGUUAGUCUAAAGUGAUAUCUGUGUGUUCUAUUACAGAAAAUACCUCAGAAAUUAAGAGAUACACUACUGGUAUAUCAUUUGCAGUUAUAACAGAUGUCAUGCUUUGGAUCAUGUUUGUCAUCAUAAAAAAUAUUAAUUGCUUAGUAUUUAAUAAUCAUAUUUAUUGUGUAUUUAGUAUUUAAUUAUUGUUUAAAUAUGUUAUUGUAUAUUUUACACAUUCUAGUUUUAUUUUUGC